rnacentral:rRNA from 1 species
UACGUAGGAGACGAGCGUUGUCCGGAGUUACUGGGCGUAAAGGGUGCGCAGGUGGCGGCGCGCGUGGGGGGUGAAAUCGCCCGGCUUAACUGGGCGGGGGCCUUCCAGACGGCGUGGCUUGAGCAGCGGAGGGGGACGUGGAAUUCCUGGUGUAGCGGUGAAAUGCGCAGAUAUCAGGAGGAACACCGGUGGCGAAGGCGGGGUCUCUGGGCCGAUACUGACGCUGAGGAGCGAAAGCGUGGGGAGCGAACAGG